CGGCGAGUGGCGAACGGGUGAGUAAUACAUCGGAACGUGCCCUGUAGUGGGGGAUAACUAGUCGAAAGAUUAGCUAAUACCGCAUACGACCUGAGGGUGAAAGUGGGGGACCGCAAGGCCUCAUGCUAUAGGAGCGGCCGAUGUCUGAUUAGCUAGUUGGUGGGGUAAAGGCCCACCAAGGCGACGAUCAGUAGCUGGUCUGAGAGGACGAUCAGCCACACUGGGACUGAGACACGGCCCAGACUCCUACGGGAGGCAGCAGUGGGGAAUUUUGGACAAUGGGCGAAAGCCUGAUCCAGCAAUGCCGCGUGUGUGAAGAAGGCCUUCGGGUUGUAAAGCACUUUUGUCCGGAAAGAAAUGGCUCUGGUUAAUACCUGGGGUCGAUGACGGUACCGGAAGAAUAAGGACCGGCUAACUACGUGCCAGCAGCCGCGGUAAUACGUAGGGUCCAAGCGUUAAUCGGAAUUACUGGGCGUAAAGCGUGCGCAGGCGGUUGUGCAAGACCGAUGUGAAAUCCCCGAGCUUAACUUGGGAAUUGCAUUGGUGACUGCACGGCUAGAGUGUGUCAGAGGGGGGUAGAAUUCCACGUGUAGCAGUGAAAUGCGUAGAGAUGUGGAGGAAUACCGAUGGCGAAGGCAGCCCCCUGGGAUAACACUGACGCUCAUGCACGAAAGCGUGGGGAGCAAACAGGAUUAGAUACCCUGGUAGUCCACGCCCUAAACGAUGUCAACUAGUUGUUGGGGAUUCAUUUCCUUAGUAACGUA
rnacentral:rRNA from 1 species